rnacentral:rRNA from 1 species
CCUACGGGAGGCAGCAGUGAGGAAUAUUGGUCAAUGGGCGCGAGCCUGAACCAGCCAAGUAGCGUGAAGGAUGACUGCCCUACGGGUUGUAAACUUCUUUUAUAAAGGAAUAAAGUGAGGCACGUGUGCCUUUUUGUCUGUACUUUAUGAAUAAGGAUCGGCUAACUCCGUGCCAGCAGCCGCGGUAAUACGGAGGAUCCGAGCGUUAUCCGGAUUUAUUGGGUUUAAAGGGAGCGUAGAUGGGUUGUUAAGUCAGUUGUGAAAGUUUGCGGCUCAACCGUAAAAUUGCAAUUGAUACUGGCAGCCUUGAGUACAGUUGAGGUAGGCGGAAUUCGUGGUGUAGCGGUGAAAUGCUUAGAUAUCACGAAGAACACCGAUUGCGAAGGCAGCCUACUAAACUGCCACUGACAUUGAGGCUCGAAAGUGUGGGUAGCAAACAGGAUUAGAUACCCUAGUAGUC